rnacentral:rRNA from 1 species
UACGUAGGGUGCAAGCGUUGUCCGGAAUUAUUGGGCGUAAAGAGCUCGUAGGCGGUUUGUUGCGUCGGCUGUGAAAUCCCGAGGCUCAACCUCGGGUCUGCAGUCGAUACGAGCAAACUAGAGUGUUGCAGGGGAGACUGGAAUUCCUGGUGUAGCGGUGAAAUGCGCAGAUAUCAGGAGGAACACCGGUGGCGAAGGCGGGUCUCUGGGACGGUACUGACGCUGAGACGCGAAAGUGUGGGGAGCGAACAGG